GACGAACGCUGGCGGCGUGCUUAACACAUGCAAGUCGAACGGAGGUUACAUUGAAACCUAGUGAUAUGUAACCUUAGUGGCGGACGGGUGAGUAACGCGUGGAUAACCUGCCUAUCAGUCUGGGACAACACCGGGAAACUGGUGAUAAUACCGGGUAAGCUCAUUGGAACACAUGUUCUCAUGCGGUGACGAGCAAUCCGCUGAUAGAUGGGUUCGCGUCCCAUUAGCUAGUUGGAGGUGUAAUGGACCCCCAAGGCGACGAUGGGCGACCGGCCUGAGAGGGUGGACGGCCACACUGGAACUGAGACACGGUCCAGACUCCUACGGGAGGCAGCAGUGGGGAAUCUUCCGCAAUGGGCGAAAGCCUGACGGAGCAACGCCGCGUGAAUGAUGAAGGCCUUCGGGUUGUAAAAUUCUGUCUUCAGGGAAGAAACAAAUGACGGUACCUGAGGAGGAAGCCCCGGCUAACUACGUGCCAGCAGCCGCCGUAACAC
rnacentral:rRNA from 1 species